rnacentral:ncRNA from 1 species
GGUUUAGUCCCAGCCUUAAAAUCAACUUUUUCUUGACUUACACAUGCAAGUCUCCGCGCACCCGUGAAAACGCCCUUCCACCCCACAUAGGGAUAAGGAGCUGAUAUCAGGCAUAAUUACCCAUGACAUCUAGCCACGCCACACCCACAAGGGUCAUCAGCAGUGAUUAACAUUAAAAAUAAACGUAAGUUUGAUUUAGUCAAUGAAAACAGGGUCGGCUAAACGAGUGCCAGCCGCCGCGGUUAAACCACAUGACUCAAAUUGAUUUUGUACGGCGUAAAGCGUGAUUAAAGAAAAUAAAAUUCUGGGGUCAAACUUAGACUAAGUUGUAAUAAACAUGUCUACCUGAAGCCCAAUCUCGAAAGAUACCCCAACCAACCACCAACUUGAACUCACAACAACUUUAUCACAAACUAGGAUUAGAGACCCUACUAUGUUUAGUCGUAAACUUUAACUUACACCCCCACCGCCAGGGGACUACGAGCAAUGCUUAAAACCCAAAGGACUUGACGGUGACCCCAAAUCCCUCUAGAGGAGCCUGUCCUAUAACCGAUGAUCCCCGCUCAACCUCACCAUUUUUGGCCUAUCAGCCUGUAUACUUCCGUCGUCAGUUUACCGUGUGAACGAACAAGUAAGUUGAAUGUCACCCCCCCCGUUACGUCAGGUCAAGGUGCAGCUAACAAAAUGGUAAGGAUGGGCUACACUUUCUAUUAUAGAAAAACUUACGGAAGAUUAUGUGAAAUCAUAUUCAGAAGGAGGAUUUAGUAGUAAGAAGAGAGUAGAGUGCCCUUCUUAACAAGGUUUCUGGGGUGUGUACACACCGCCCGUCACCCUCUUCAACAAAUUUCACUAUAGUAUCUAACAU